rnacentral:rRNA from 1 species
UACAGAGGAUGCAAGCGUUAUCCGGAAUGAUUGGGCGUAAAGCGUCUGUAGGUGGUUUCAUAAGUCUACUGUCAAAGAUCAGGGCUUAACCCUGAGCAGGCAGUAGAAACUAAGAAGCUUGAGUACGGUAGGGGCAGAGGGAAUUCCCGGUGUAGCGGUGAAAUGCGUAGAUAUCGGGAAGAACACCAAUGGCGAAAGCACUCUGCUGGGCCGAAACUGACACUGAGACGCGAAAGCGUGGGGAGCGAACAGG